CGCCUUUUCAGUGUUACACUGCAACUCUCUUCACCACCAGCAAGGAAGCGCCGUAGCCUGAGAAAGAUUUCUCUCUCACUAUGAGAGCCAAGUGGAAGAAGAAGCGUAUGAGGAGAUUGAAGAGGAAGCGCCGAAAGAUGAGGCAGAGAUCCAAGUAGUUUGACCAUUUAUAAUAUUGUCUAGUUAAGUUUGGUGCUAAUUUCAUUUUGGAUAAUCUCAAUUUGCAACACUACUUUGUUACCCUGCAUUCGGAUAUAAACCAGUUGAAUGUAUGAGUUACUGUUUUUUCUUUA